UUCCCAGUGGCUCAAAUGGUAAAGAAUCUGCCUGCAAUGCAGGAGACCUGGGUUCAAUCCCUUGUGGGGAAG
rnacentral:tRNA from 1 species